rnacentral:rRNA from 1 species
GAUGAACGCUGGCGGCGUGCCUAAUACAUGCAAGUCGAGCGAACAGACGAGGAGCUUGCUCCUCUGACGUUAGCGGCGGACGGGUGAGUAACACGUGGAGAAUCUACCUAUAAGACGGGGAUAACUUCGGGAAACCGGAGCUAAUACCGGAUAAUAUAUUGAACCGUAUGGUUCAAUAGUGAAAGACGGAUUUGCUGUCACUUAUAGAGGGAUCCGCGCGUCAUUAGUUAGUUGGUAGGGUAACGGCUUACCAGGGCAAGGAAGCGUACCCGACCGGAGAGGGUGAUCGGCCACACUGGAACUGAGACACGGUCCAGACUCCUACGGGAGGCAGCAGUAGGGAACCUUCCGCAAUGGGCGAAAGCCUGACGGAGCAACGCCGCGUGAGUGAUGAAGGUCUUCGGAUCGUAAAACUCUGUUAUUAGGGAAGAACAAAUGUGUAAGUAACUGUGCACGUCGUGACGGUACCUACUCAGAAAGCCACGGCUAACUACGUG